rnacentral:rRNA from 1 species
UACGUAGGGUGCAAGCGUUAAUCGGAAUUACUGGGCGUAAAGCGUGCGCAGGCGGUUAUGUAAGACAGUUGUGAAAUCCCCGGGCUCAACCUGGGAACUGCAUCUGUGACUGCAUAGCUAGAGUACGGUAGAGGGGGAUGGAAUUCCGCGUGUAGCAGUGAAAUGCGUAGAUAUGCGGAGGAACACCGAUGGCGAAGGCAAUCCCCUGGACCUGUACUGACGCUCAUGCGCGAAAGCGUGGGGAGCAAACAGG